rnacentral:rRNA from 1 species
GUGGAGCAUGUGGUUUAAUUCGACGCAACGCGAAGAACCUUACCUACUCUUGACAUCCAGAGAAUUCGCUAGAGAUAGCUUAGUGCCUUCGGGAACUCUGAGACAGGUGCUGCAUGGCUGUCGUCAGCUCGUGUUGUGAAAUGUUGGGUUAAGUCCCGUAACGAGCGCAACCCUUAUCCUUAUUUGCCAGCACUUCGGGUGGGAACUUUAAGGAGACUGCCGGUGACAAACCGGAGGAAGGUGGGGACGACGUCAAGUCAUCAUGGCCCUUACGAGUAGGGCUACACACGUGCUACAAUGGCGUAUACAGAGGGCUGCGAACUAGCGAUAGUAAGCGAAUCCCAGAAAGUACGUCGUAGUCCGGAUUGGAGUCUGCAACUCGACUCCAUGAAGUCGGAAUCGCUAGUAAUCGUGAAUCAGAAUGUCACGGUGAAUACGUUCCCGGGCCUUGUACACACCGCCCGUCACACCAUGGGAGUUGAUUGCUCCAGAAGUAGCUAGCUUAACCCUUCGGGGAUGGCGGUUACCACGGAGUGGUCAAUGACUGGGGUGAAGUCGUAACGAGGUA